GGACCCGUAGUCUAGCAUGGAUAAAAUUCCUGGUCGCGGUCCAGGAGAUCGGGGGUUCGAAUCCCCCCGGGUCCA
rnacentral:tRNA from 1 species